AACCUUUACACUGCACGACAGUGCGAUAGGGGGACUCCGAGUGCGAGGGCAUAGAGCCCUCGCUUUUGUACACCGUAAGGUGGUGUACGAAUAAGAACUGGGCAAGACCGGUGCCAGCCGCCGCGGUAAUACCGGCAGUUCGAGUGAUGGCCGAUUUUAUUGGGCCUAAAGCGUUCGUAGCUGGCCGAUCAAGUCUGUCGGGAAAUCUGCUCGCCUAACGAGCAGGCGUCCGGCGGAAACUGAUCGGCUUGGGACCGGAAGACUCGAGGGGUACGUCCGGGGUAGGAGUGAAAUCCUGUAAUCCUGGACGGACCACCAAUGGGGAAACCACGUUGAGAGACCGGACCCGACAGUGAGGGACGAAAGCCAGGGUCUCGAACCGGAUUAGAUACCCGGGUAGUCCUGGCUGUAAACAAUGCUCGCUAGGUAUGUCACGCGCCAUGAGCACGUGAUGUGCCGUAGUGAAGACGAUAAGCGAGCCGCCUGGGAAGUACGUCCGCAAGGAUGAAACUUAA
rnacentral:rRNA from 1 species